rnacentral:rRNA from 1 species
AUUGAACGCUGGCGGCAUGCUUUACACAUGCAAGUCGAACGGUAACAGGCCGCAAGGUGCUGACGAGUGGCGAACGGGUGAGCAAUGCAUCGGAACGUGCCCAGUCGUGGGGGAUAACUACUCGAAAGAGUAGCUAAUACCGCAUACGAUCUAUGGAUGAAAGCGGGGGACCGUAAGGCCUCGCGCGAUUGGAGCGGCCGAUGUCAGAUUAGGUAGUUGGUGGGGUAAAGGCUCACCAAGCCAACGAUCUGUAGCUGGUCUGAGAGGACGACCAGCCACACUGGAACUGAGACACAGCCCAGACUCCUACGGGAGGCAGCAGUGGGGAAUUUUGGACGAUGGGGGCAAGCCUGAUCCAGCAAUGCCGCGUGCAGGAAGAAGGCCUUAGGGUUGUAAACUGCUUUUGUACGGAACGAAACGGCUCUGGUUAAUACCCGAGGCUAAUGACGGUACCGUAAGAAUAAGCACCGGCUAACUACGUG